AUUGCCUCAUCCAGACAGCGCCAAGGCCAGACCCAGCGGCAGCUAGGCCUCGUCUCCCGCAUACUUGAACGUGUAGUUUUUGCAAUUUGCAGGGGAUGCAUGAGGGGGCCGGCAUGGGAGAUGGCCUGAUAUUAUCGUGCAACCACGCGGGCAGAGCUCCUUCCUUCCCUAAUCCAUUGCCCGUUUCUCCUCCACCUGCGAACCAACGAGUCUACGUCGCUGCCCCACUGAGGCCAUCGAAGAAGAAGCAAUUGGGGAGGCCUCUUCUAAGUAGCAGUCCCGAUGGCAGCCGCAAAAAGCCGCCACUGCUGCUUGGAGAAGAAGGCCGACGUCGUGGGCAUAGUUCAGAAGUUGCCCUGAGCAGAGCGGCAAGGGUCUUCCUCCUCGACGUGAACCCUCUCUGCUAUGACGGAAGCCAGCCUAGCCACUACUCUUUCGCUUACUGGACCACUCUCUUACUCUCGCGCGUUGUAGGCCAAGACCCAGUUAUGGCUGGACGCAUAACUCAAAACUCUUCCGCUGUUCAUCAUGGAGAGAGACAAGGGCAACAUCACAUGAAGAGAAAAGACAAUGGUUCAGGCGGUUGGGAUACUUCUAAGAUCUUCCCUCAUUUUCUCAAGGUAUUUGAUGGAGAACAUGGAAAUGAAUAUCGUAGGCAGUUAUUGCCUUCAUAUAAAGCACAUCGCAGGAGAUCUUCAGCAGGCUUAUCUACGUUCCAUAGGAUUUCAGGAAUUCAGAACAUAACAUCCAACAAAUGUGCAACAGAAAACAUCAUGGAUCUUUUUGAUAAAUGCAACAUCCCGGCAAUAAAAGUUGAAGAUGCUGAGGCAGAUGAUGUGAUUGCAACACUUGUUGAACAAAUUCAACAAAGAGGACUUCAUGCUGUCAUAGCAUCACCUGAUAAAGAUUUCAAGCAGUUGAUAUCUGAACGCGUGCAGAUGGUAAUGCCUAUGCCAGAGCUUGGACGGUGGUCAUUUUACACAUUAAAGCAUUAUCUCUUGCAGUACAAUUGUGACCCAGCAUCUGAUCUGAGUCUCCGUUGCAUACUGGGUGAUGAUGUUGAUGGUGUCCCAGGGCUUCAACAUGUAUCUCCUGGUUUUGGCCGGAAGACGGCUGUCAAACUUAUAAAGAAGCAUGGUACAUUGGAAAACUUGCUGAGAGCUGCUGCAAUUAGAACUGUUGGAAAACCUUAUGCACAAACUGCUCUGACUGAGCAUGCAGAUUAUCUGCGUAGAAACUUUCGUGUGCUUAGCUUGAGGAGGGACAUUGACAUUCAUUUUGACGAGAAAUGGUUAUCCAAAAGGGACACCUGUAAUGACUUGCCUGCUCUUUCCUGCUUCUUCAAGAAGUUAAAUUGAUUGACAUUGGCAAGCAUUUUUGUUGAUUUUGAUUUCUGAGGGGUUGGUGAUUCCAAGGGUGUGAAAAGAAAGAGCUUUUGCUCUCUAAAUAUUUAAUCUAUGAAAUUAUCCAGCUCUAGACCAGAAGCCAGAAGGUUAAUAUGGACUGGGAAGCUUGGAAAUUCUGCAGUAAGAUUGAACCUCGAAUCUCAUGGCUGAGGUGGUUAAAUUAUAAUGAAUCAAGGUCUUUAUCCUCUUGUUUCCCCUUUCAUUUUCUAUUUGGAGGUUGAUUCUGGGAACCAAGAAGAUUUCGUACUUUUGGAGCACCAUGUAUGUAAGUUGUACAGGCCUGUCUCGCAACAUGGACAUUCAGUUGGAUGGACGGAGGAAGACUAUCAUCCUGGAAGAAGUUAUUGGGAAAGGACUUGUGAUAUUUACUGCAGAAUUUUGAUCUACUGGAUGUUCAGUUAAUACAUGAAUGCCCCUUCUAUGUCAUAAGGAGCCCUGUUUUGUCUGGAUACUUAUUUGGUGAUCAAGGCUAUCUCAGUACAUCGGUCUCGUGGAAGUUCUACAUCCUCUUGAUUAAGGGGACAAAUAACCAUGGAUCAGAUUUUUUGUCUGACAACGUGUUUCCAGUUGAGAUUCUAAGAUGUUGCUCUGCAAAUACUGAUCCACGUUCCUAUUUGUAUGUUUACAACUUGUCAUGUAAAUUAUUCCAUAUAUUAGGUUCAUCAUUUCCAUUUGGUACUUCUAAUGAUUUCAUUUGGGAAUGAAAACUAGAUAUAGAUGUCUUUUUUGUGCUCC